UACAGAGGGGGCAAGCGUUAUUCGGAAUUAUUGGGCGUAAAGGGCGCGUAGGCGGCUUUGCAAGUGACGGGUGAAAUCCCUCGGCUUAACCGAGGAACUGCCUGUCAGACUGCAUGGCUUGAGUCCGGGAGAGGUGAGUGGAACUGCGAGUGUAGAGGUGAAAUUCGUAGAUAUUCGCAAGAACACCAGUGGCGAAGGCGGCUCACUGGCCCGGUACUGACGCUGAGGUGCGAAAGCGUGGGGAGCAAACAGG
rnacentral:rRNA from 1 species